UGAGGAAUACUGGGCAAUGCCCGCAAGGGUGACCCAGCAACGCCGCGUGGAGGAUGAAUGUCGUAAGAUUGUAAACUCCUGUUAGAGGGGAAGAAUAGUACCGGUUGGACCGGUAUAUGACUGUACCCUCAGAGAAAGCCCCGGCUAACUACGUGCCAGCAGCCGCGGUAAUACGUAGGGGGCAAGCGUUGUCCGGAUUUACUGGGUGUAAAGGGCGCGCAGGCGGGAUAAAAAGUCAGUGGUGAAAUCCUACAGCUUAACUGUAGAACUGCCUUUGAUACUUUUAUUCUUGAGUUCGGGAGAGAGAGACGGAAUUCCAGGUGUAGUGGUGAAAUACGUAGAUAUCUGGAAGAACACCAGUUGCGAAGGCGGUCUCUUGGUCCGACACUGACGCUGAGGCGCGAAAGCGUGGGGAGCAAACA
rnacentral:rRNA from 1 species